rnacentral:rRNA from 1 species
ACAUACGACCACAGGGUGUGGGGAACAGGGCUUCCCGUCCGCUCAGCCGUACUUAAGCCACACGCCGGUGAGUUAGUAGUUGGGUGGGUGACCACCAGCGAAUCCUCACUGUUGUAUGUUU